rnacentral:rRNA from 1 species
UCGCCUGUUUUACAAAAACAUCGCCUCUUGACAAACAUAAGAGGUCCAGCCUGCCCAGUGACCUAGUUCAACGGCCGCGGUAUCCUAACCGUGCGAAGGUAGCGUAAUCACUUGUUCUUUAAAUGAGGACUAGUAUGAAUGGCACCACGAGGGUUACACUGUCUCCUUUUUUUAAUCAGUGAAACUGAUCUUCCCGUGAAGAAGCGGGAAUUUUUUUAUAAGACGAGAAGACCCUAUGGAGCUUUAAACAAAUUAACACUUGCUGCCUAAAAUUAAUCUUCCAGAAGCAUAACAUAUAGCAUAGCAUUAUGAUUAAUAGUUUUCGAUUGGGGUGAUCACGGAGUAAAAAACAACCUCCAUGCCGAAAGGGGCCUCCCCUGAGCAAAAAGCCACAACUUUAAGCACUAAAAAAUUAACGUUAAUUGACCCAAUAACUUGAUCAACGAACCAAGUUACCCUAGGGAUAACAGCGCAAUCCACUUCAAGAGCUCCUAUCGACAAGUGGGUUUACGACCUCGAUGUUGGAUCAGGGUAUCCCUAGUGGUGCAGCCGCUACUAAUGGUUCGUUUGUUCAACGAUUAAAACCCUACGUGAUCUGAGUUCAGACCGGA